AGUCCAGCUGCAGUCUCUCAGAUGAUCGCUACUUUAGGCACAGCAUUCAUUAAGGAGGUUGCAAGAGAAGUUAUAAAACUAUUAGUAGUCACCGAGGCCGUUGACUAUUAAGCAGGGGAGAAUGUAACCGGGUCAUAUUUUGAGGUUGUUGUAUGUUUUCUAAGUGGUAAUGGGACAUGUCUCCUUUAAAUGCCAGAAAACUACAUUGCAUCAUGUUGUAGUUCCUGGGUUGGUAUGUGGUGAAUUCUGGGUAUUAAGACUGGGGCGAGAACGCAGUGCAUCAGAGAAGGUGGCUGGCGUGAGGGAUAUUUGGUGAUACUUGGUUAAUAUUGCUGGUAAGUGGGACAUUUGUCUUAAAAUACUUUAAUAACCAUGCAAUUGUAUAUAUCAUUGAUUUAUAUGAAUGGAUGAGUUCGUUUGGGAAAGAAUGUUUGUGGAUUCUGGCAGCAUGUGGAUUAGCCCAGUCGCUCUGUCAUUUGGGGAUGUAGCUAAAUUUAAGUUUACAUUUGUGAAAUACAAUUCCGUUUUGGCUAUAGAGUGAAGAGUAUGAGGUGAUGUAGUUAGUGUAGAUGUAUUUUGUAGGAAAUUAAGUUGCAUACAGGCUGUAUUAAAGUGAAUUGUCAUGUUUCACCUAGCAGACAUAUAGCCAUAGUGGUAUCCUGGGAGCACACGUGUGUGGAGGAUAGAGAUGUGUGCGUGUUAGGAACAUUAUCACCACUACCGUUUUGUAUUGCUGAACCUUACUUUCAUUUAUUUUCUUAUACGGCUAGUUGAGCUACAGAGUUGGGAUAGGCUUAGCUUGUGUACAGGUUAGUUUAUCAUAUAAGAUUUCUAUUUGAUGUCAUUUUAUUUUUGUACUUUUCUAUACAAAUAUUUUGUUUUAUAUAUCUAUCAGAUAAAGAACCCUUACUCUUAA